AUUCUGGCUCAGGAUGAACGCUGGCGGCGUGCUUAACACAUGCAAGUCGAACGGGAUCCCAGGAGCUUGCUCCUGGGUGAGAGUGGCGAACGGGUGAGUAAUGCGUGACCGACCUGCCCCAUACACCGGAAUAGCUCCUGGAAACGGGUGGUAAUGCCGGAUGCUCCAGUUGAUCGCAUGGUCUUCUGGGAAAGCUUUCGCGGUAUGGGAUGGGGUCGCGUCCUAUCAGCUUGAUGGCGGGGUAACGGCCCACCAUGGCUUCGACGGGUAGCCGGCCUGAGAGGGCGACCGGCCACAUUGGGACUGAGAUACGGCCCAGACUCCUACGGGAGGCAGCAGUGGGGAAUAUUGCACAAUGGGCGCAAGCCUGAUGCAGCGACGCCGCGUGCGGGAUGACGGCCUUCGGGUUGUAAACCGCUUUUGACUGGGAGCAAGCCCUUCGGGGUGAGUGUACCUUUCGAAUAAGCACCGGCUAACUACGUGCCAGCAGCCGCGGUAAUACGUAGGGUGCAAGCGUUAUCCGGAAUUAUUGGGCGUAAAGGGCUCGUAGGCGGUUCGUCGCGUCCGGUGUGAAAGUCCAUCGCUUAACGGUGGAUCCGCGCCGGGUACGGGCGGGCUUGAGUGCGGUAGGGGAGACUGGAAUUCCCGGUGUAACGGUGGAAUGUGUAGAUAUCGGGAAGAACACCAAUGGCGAAGGCAGGUCUCUGGGCCGUCACUGACGCUGAGGAGCGAAAGCGUGGGGAGCGAACAGGAUUAGAUACCCUGGUAGUCCACGCCGUAAACGGUGGAUGCUGGAUGUGGGGACCAUUCCACGGUCUCCGUGUCGGAGCCAACGCGUUAAGCAUCCCGCCUGGGGAGUACGGCCGCAAGGCUAAAACUCAAAGAAAUUGACGGGGGCCCGCACAAGCGGCGGAGCAUGCGGAUUAAUUCGAUGCAACGCGAAGAACCUUACCUGGGCUUGACAUGUUCCCGACGGUCGUAGAGAUACGGCUUCCCUUCGGGGCGGGUUCACAGGUGGUGCAUGGUCGUCGUCAGCUCGUGUCGUGAGAUGUUGGGUUAAGUCCCGCAACGAGCGCAACCCU
rnacentral:rRNA from 1 species